CAGCACCUCAAGUGGUCAGGAUGAUUAUUGGGCCUAAAGCAUCCGUAGCCGGCGCUGUAAGUUUUCGGUUAAAUCUGUACGCUCAACGUACAGGCUGCCGGGAAUACUGCAGCGCUAGGGAGUGGGAGAGGUAGACGGUACUCGGUAGGAAGGGGUAAAAUCCUUUGAUCUAUUGAUGACCACCUGUGGCGAAGGCGGUCUACCAGAACACGUCCGACGGUGAGGGAUGAAAGCUGGGGGAGCAAAACGGAUUAGAUACCCGAGUAGUCC
rnacentral:rRNA from 1 species